AUACGGAGGAUGCAAGCGUUAUCCGGAUUUAUUGGGUUUAAAGGGUGCGCAGGCUGACCGGUAAGUCAGGGGUGAAACUUUACAGCUUAACUGUAAACGUGCCUUUGAUACUGCCGGACUAGAGUUUAAGGGACGUAACCGGAAUGUGAUGUGUAGCGGUGAAAUGCAUAGAUAUGUCACAGAACGCCGAUCGUGAAGACAGGUUACGAACUUAAUACUGACGCUCAGGCACGAAAGCGUGGGGAUC
rnacentral:rRNA from 1 species